GACGAACGCUGGCGGCGUGCUUAACACAUGCAAGUCGAGCGGAGCGGCGAACGGGUGAGUAACGCGUGAGUAACUGCCCCCCUCUCUGGGAUAACAGUUGGAAACGGCUGCUAAUACCGGAUAGUGGGGGAUGACUCGCGUCCAAUCAGCUUGUUGGCGGGGUAGUGGACUACAAAGGCGACGACGGGUAGCCGGCCUGAGAGGGCUACCGGGCACAGUGGGCUGAGAGACGGCCCAAACUAAUGCGAGAGGCAGCAGUGGGGAAUAUUGCAGAAGGGGGGAAACCCUGAUGCAGCAACGCGCGUGCGGGAUGACGGCCUUCUGGUUGUAAACCGCUUUCAGCCAUGACGCGGUAGUGGCAGAAGAAGCACCGGCUAACUACGUGCCAGCAGACGCGGUAAUAC
rnacentral:rRNA from 1 species